rnacentral:rRNA from 1 species
GACAGAGGGUGCAAACGUUGUUCGGAAUUACUGGGCGUAAAGCGCGUGUAGGCGGCUAAGUAAGUCGGGCGUGAAAUCCCACGGCUCAACCGUGGAAGUGCACUCGAAACUGCAUAGCUAGAGUCCUGGAGAGGAAGGUGGAAUGCUUGGUGCAGAGGUGAAAUUCGUAGAUAUCAAGCGGAACACCGGUGGCGAAGGCGGCCUUCUGGACAGUGACUGACGCUGAGACGCGAAAGCGUGGGGAGCAAACAGG